UAAGGCAUUUCUUCUUAAAUUAGAAUUCAGGAUCAGGAACUCCUUUCUGUGUACAGGAUUAAGAAUGCAAACAUUCUGAAAGGCGAUCAGGAGACCAAUAAGGAUGCAGAUGAAGUCCGGUUUCAUCUGAAGAUGAUCACAGUCUUAGGAACAUCUGUUCUUGUUUCUGUUUCAUUGCCUAACAGUAUGGGUCAAAUUUUGGGGGGUUAUUAAAGUGUUUUGAGAUGAUUUGCUUUUCAACUCAGAGGAGCUACGUUUUUAAAUUCGCAAAUGAUUUAGCAGAUUGUUGUGUGCUUCUAUAGCUUGUUUUUGCAUUGCAAUUUCUGAAUAUGUAAAAAUGAUGAUUUGAAAUGGUUUUGAAUAGUUAUUGUUCCCAAAUUUUCUAAAUUAUUGUAAACAAAACAGGUGAAAUGUAUGUUGUGCCACUGUACUGUGCAAAGCUUCAAAUUCUAAGACGCAGGAGAGAGAAGUUCAAUCCCUUUAUUCAUUUGAUAAUUUCAUAGUUCUGUUUUCUGCAAUGAGUUACUGCUCUCAUGUGGUCUCUUCGGCAAAAUCAACUGCAUUCCUGCUGGUAGUUCAUGAAAUAAUAUUGGAAAGUAUGAAUAAAAUAAAUGGUAUAUUUUCAAAUC